AGCCAUAUCACGCUGAGACACCGGUUCCUCUACGAUCACUGAAGUUAAGCAACUGGUCAGUACCUAGAUGGGUGACUGCUUGGGAAUACCAGGUGCUGUAA